GAGGGUAGAGCUCAGUGGUAGAGUGCAUGCUUAGCAUGCAAAAGGGCCUGGGCUAAAUCCCCAGUACAUCCA
rnacentral:tRNA from 1 species